GGUGGUGCAGUGAUUAUAAAACAUUCCUCGUACUGAUGGGUAAUCCCCUAAGAACGACACCUAUACACCCAUAGAAUCUGAGCACCA